GACGAACGCUGGCGGCGUGCUUCAUACAUGCAAGUCGAACGAGGUCCAUCCGGUAGCAAUACUGGAGAAGACCGAGAGGCGAACGGGUGAGUAACACGUGAGGAACCUGCCCCGAAGACCGGGAUAACAGUGGGAAACCGCUGCUAAUACCGGAUGCCCCCACCGGGUCGCAUGGCCUGGUGAGGAAAUGGAUUCCGCUUCGGGAGGGCCUCGCGGCCUAUCAGCUAGUUGGUGGGGCGAUGGCCUACCAAGGCGACGACGGGUAGCCGGCCUGAGA
rnacentral:rRNA from 1 species